AUUGAACGCUGGCGGCAUGCUUUACACAUGCCAGUUGAACGGCAGCGCGGGCUUCGGCCUGGCGGCGAGUGGCGAACGGGUGAGUAAUGCAUCGGAACGUGCCCAGUAGUGGGGGAUAGCCCGGCGAAAGCCGGAUUAAUACCGCAUACGACCUGAGGGUGAAAGCGGGGGACCGAAAGGCCUCGCGCUAUUGGAGCGGCCGAUGUCGGAUUAGCUAGUUGGUGGGGUAAAGGCUUACCAAGGCGACGAUCCGUAGCUGGUCUGAGAGGACGACCAGCCACACUGGGACUGAGACACGGCCCAGACUCCUACGGGAGGCAGCAGUGGGGAAUUUUGGACAAUGGGGGCAACCCUGAUCCAGCCAUGCCGCGUGCGGGAAGAAGGCCUUCGGGUUGUAAACCGCUUUUGUUCGGGAAGAAAUCCUCUGGGCUAAUACCCCGGGGGGAUGACGGUACCGGAAGAAUAAGCACCGGCUAACUACGUG
rnacentral:rRNA from 1 species